GACGAACGCUGGCGGCGGGCUUAACACAUGCAAGUCGAACGGAAAGGCCCUGCUUGUGUGGGGUGCUCGAGUGGCGAACGGGUGAGUAACACGUGAGUAACCUGCCCUUGACUGUGGGAUAACUUCAGGAAACUGGGGCUAAUACCUGAUAGGAGCUCCUGCUGCAGGGGGGGGGUUGGAAAGUUUCGGCGGUUGGGGAUGGACGCGCGGCUUAUCAGCUGGUUGGUGGGGUAGUGGCUUACCAAGGCUUUGACGGGUAGCCGGCAUGAGAGGGUGACCGGCCACAUUGGGCCUGAGAUACGGCCCAGACUGCAACGGGAGGCAGCAGUGGGGAAUCUUGCCCAAUGGGCGGACGCCUGAUGCAGAAACGCCGCGUGCGGGAUGACGGCCUUCGGGUUGUAAACCGCUGUAGCCUGUGACGAAGCGGGAGUGACGGUAAUGGGUAAAGAAGCACCGGCUAACUACGUG
rnacentral:rRNA from 1 species